rnacentral:ncRNA from 1 species
AUAGAUGGCGCGGGGUGCCGUAACAUGGCUGAGAAAUACCCGUCGAACUUGAACUGAGUCAUAUCAGCGUAAGGACGCCUUCAAAGAGUUGG